UUUUAUUAAUCAAAUCCUACACUCAAUAGAUACAUAUCUCUUGCGUGGUAUUUCUGAGAGUAUCCUCUUCUGCAUCUUUAGGGUAAUCUA
rnacentral:lncRNA from 1 species